rfam:Synechococcus phage ACG-2014g isolate Syn7803TS105, complete genome.
UAACUGUUCGUAACACUCCUCAAACCAAGACCUAUAGGGUGUCUAAACACGUCUUUCAUACCUUUGCCUAGGGCGCAAAGGAAUAGUAACUCCA